UGAUGACAAUUCUCCGGAAUCGCUGUACUACUUUGAUGAAAGCACUUUUGAACCCUUUUCCAUCUGACCACUGAGUGGUGCAUU
ensembl:snoRNA SNORD68 small nucleolar RNA MBII-202